rnacentral:rRNA from 1 species
GAUUCUAGUGGCGAACGGGUGCGUAACACGUGAGAAUCUGCCUUUAGGAAAAGGAUAACUACUAGAAAUAGUAGCUAAUACUUUAUAUGCCUUAGGGUGAAAGAAGCAAUUCGCCUAAAGAGGAGCUCGCGUCUGAUUAGCUAGUUGGUAGGGUAAGAGCCUACCAAGGCGACGAUCAGUAGCUGGUUUGAGAGGAUGAUCAGCCACAUUGGAACUGAGACACGGUCCAGACUCCUACGGGAGGCAGCAGUAAGGAAUAUUCUACAAUGGGCGAAAGCCUGAUAGAGCAAUACCGCGUGAGGGACGAAUGCCUACGGGUUGUAAACCUCUUUUCUCAAGGAGGAAGAACUGACGUUACUUGAGGAAUAAGCAUCGGCUAACCCUGUGCCAGCAGCCGCGGUAAUACAGGGGAUGCAAGUUUUAUUCGGAAUUAUUGGGCGUAAAGCGUCUGCAGGUUGACAUAAAAGUCUUUUGUUAAAUAUCAGAGCUCAACUCGGAAUCUGCAAAAGAUACUAUAUGUCUUGAGUAUGGUAGAGGUAAGGGGAAUUUCCAGUGGAGCGGUGAAAUGCGUAGAUAUUGGAAAGAACACCGAUAGCGAAGGCACCUUACUGGGCCAUUACUGACACUCAGAGACGAAAGCUAGGGGAGCAAACGGGAUUAGAUACCCCGGUAGUCCUAGCCGUAAACGAUGGAUACUAGAUGUUGUAUACUUUAUUGUAAACAGUGUCGUAGCUAACGCG